UACAGAGGUCCCGAGCGUUGUUCGGAUUCAUUGGGCGUAAAGGGUGCGUAGGCGGCGGGGAAAGUCUGAUGUGAAAUCCUGGGGCUCAACCCUGGAACUGCAUUGGAUACUUCCUUGCUAGAGUACUGGAGAGGAAACUGGAAUUUACGGUGUAGCAGUGAAAUGCGUAGAGAUCGUAAGGAAGACCAGUGGCGAAGGCGAGUUUCUGGACAGGUACUGACGCUGAGGCACGAAGGCCAGGGGAGCAAACGGG
rnacentral:rRNA from 1 species